rnacentral:lncRNA from 1 species
GUGGAAUAUGCCAUUCAAUAAAGUAAAAAAUCAACCAAGCGAAAACAAAUCUGUCCACAAGAGGAAACAACAGAGCAACAGAAAUACUGAAAUUCAACAAAAACAAACAUAGAAACAGACCAUUUGAAAACAACUGCCAUAUUUCUGACUAGGCUCAGGAUAUCCUAAGAAAAAAUGGUGGGUUAACCCAGGCAACCAAACCUCUCCCCAACUCAGCAAUUCAAAAACACUGCCAAAAUGAUCACACUACGUGACAGGAAUAUAGAACAAACAAACA